rnacentral:rRNA from 1 species
AGAGUUUGAUCCUGGCUCAGAACGAACGCUGGCGGCGUGCCUAACACAUGCAAGUCGUACGAGAAAAUCCGCUUCGGCGGGUGAGUAAAGUGGCGCACGGGUGAGUAACGCGUGGAUAAUCUGCCUUUAAGCGGGGAAUAACUUACCGAAAGGUGGGCUAAUACCCCAUAAAGCUAUGGAGCUCCGGUUUUCAUAGCCAAAGAGAGCCUCUGCAUGCAAGCCCUCACUUAGAGAUGAGUCCGCGUACCAUUAGCUAGUUGGUGGGGUAAUGGCCUACCAAGGCGACGAUGGUUAGCUGGUCUGAGAGGAUGAUCAGCCACACUGGAACUGAGACACGGUCCAGACUCCUACGGGAGGCAGCAGUGAGGAAUAUUGCGCAAUGGGGGCAACCCUGACGCAGCAACGCCGCGUGAGUGAGGAAGGUUUUCGGAUCGUAAAGCUCUGUCGGGUGGGAAGAAAUGUAUGGAGGUUAACAGCCUUUGUACUUGACGGUACCGCCAAAGGAAGCACCGGCUAACUCCGUGCCAGCAGCCGCGGUAAUACGGGGGGUGCUAGCGUUGUUCGGAAUCAUUGGGCGUAAAGAGCGUGUAGGCGGCUAGGCAAGUCAGAUGUGAAACCCCUGGGCUUAACCCAGGACGUGCAUUUGAAACUGCUUGGCUUGAGUAGGGAAGAGGGAAGUGGAAUUCCUGGUGUAGAGGUGAAAUUCGUAGAUAUCAGGAGGAACACCGGUGGCGAAGGCGACUUCCUGGUCCUAUACUGACGCUGAGACGCGAGAGCGUGGGGAGCAAACAGGAUUAGAUACCCCAGUAGUCCACGCCCUAAA